rnacentral:rRNA from 1 species
CCUACGGGAGGCAGCAGUGAGGAAUAUUGGUCAAUGGGCGCGAGCCUGAACCAGCCAAGUAGCGUGAAGGAUGACUGCCCUACGGGUUGUAAACUUCUUUUAUAAAGGAAUAAAGUGAGGCACGUGUGCCUUUUUGUAUGUCCUUUAUGAAUAAGGAUCGGCUAACUCCGUGACAGCAGCCGCGGUAAUACGGGGGAUCCGAGCGUUCUCCGGAAUUAUUGGGUUUGAAGGGAGCGUUGAUGGGUUGUUAAGUCAGUUGUGAAAGUUUGCGGCUCAAACGUAAAAUUUGCAAUUGAGACUGGCAGCCUUGAGUACAGUUGAGGUAGGCGGAAUUCGUGGUGUAGCGGUGAAAUGCUUAGAUAUCACGAAGAACUCCGAUUGCGAAGGCAGCCUACUAAACUGCCACUGACAUUGAUGCUCGAAAGUGUGGGUAUCAAACAGGAUUAGAUACCCCAGUAGUC